UACGGGGGGCAGCAGUGGGGAAUAUUGGACAAUGGGGGAAACCCUGAUCCAGCAAUGCCGCGUGGGUGAUGACAGCGCUCUGCGUUGUAAAACCCUUUCGGCGGGGACGAAAAGCCGGGCGUGAACAACGUCCGGUGCUGACGGUACCCGCAGAAGAAGCACCGGCUAACUCCGUGCCAGCAGCCGCGGUAA
rnacentral:rRNA from 1 species